CUAAAAGGUCAUGAAAGAGCCGACUGAAUCAGAUGGCACGUUAAAAGACUCAUCAACGGUGGCAGGUUUAUAGAACAUGACAGAGGAAGCUGUGCUUAGCUGAGAAGAGGAAGCAGAGAAGGAAGCAGAGAAAAACAAAGUCUGUGAUAAAAACUGGAAAGGAGCCACAAAAGGCCACAAAAAACAAGGAAGUCCAUUUUGGAACCGGAUCCUGGAGUGACUGAAAAGGCAGAGUGUCAUUUGAGGAUGCGAGUAGUAUAAUCAUACUUUUUUGCAUGGAAGAAAGCAAGCUGCUGCUCUCCUGGUCCUUCGGCUGGACAGAGCAGACUUCUGUUGGGGCUUUUCUGGUCUGCAUCCAUUGAUGUUUCCAUGUCAAGGGCUUCUUUAGCUCCAAGUCUGGAAUACAUGACGCAAAAAGAAAACCCAGAGAACUCAUGAUUGUGUUGUUUCUUAGUUCCUGAGGUCCCCAGCUGGUCUGCCUUCUUCACUCCACCUUUCAGAGUCUUUUAAAGUUUGCUUUAUGUAUACAAUGUCAAGGUUUUUAUUUGUAUUUAGGAGAAAUAAGGAAACGUAUGUUUUCUUCAUCUUCCCUGAAGUGAAUGUUGUCCAUAUAUACUUUUAUAAAGGUUAAAACACUGGCUCUGAGUAAUCUGAAAAGGCUACAGACUUUAUGAUUUCAACUAUAUGGCAUUCUAGAAAACACAAAACUAUGGAAACAGUACAAAGAUCAGUGGUUUCUAGAGGCUGGGGGGAAGGUGGGAUGAAUAGGUGGAGCACAGGGAUUUUAGGCUGGGAAAACUAUUCUGUAUGAUAUGACAAUGGUGGAUACUUGCCAUUAUACACCUGUACAAACCCAUAAAAUGUACAAUACAAUGAGUGAACCCUAAUGUAAACUACAGACUUUGGGUAAUAAUGAUGUAUUUAUGUUGUUUCAUCAUUCUACCAAAUGUAACCCUGGUGGGGGACCUUGGGGUGGGGGUGGGCUGUGUGUGUGGUGGGGAAGAGCAUGGGGGAGCUC
rnacentral:lncRNA from 1 species